GGGGUACAUAAAAAGAGGGACAAAACAAAAGGUCACAAUCAUGAAGCCAAAUAUCUAGAAAAUCAAAAACAUCUAUUAAAAUCCAAGAAAUCCAAAAUAAAAAUGAAGUAUAAAUAAUAGUUUAAAUUUACAAAAACAAAAGCCGAACAUGAGGUUCCAAGGAAAGGGGAUUAGAAGGGAGAAUUCUCCGAAGAUUUGCUCGUGUCUCUUCUGUACAUUACAGAUCUAAAAAGGUUUCUAAAAUUCUAGAGAGAGAGGGUUUCUUUAAGGCUGUAAAGAAAACAUCUUAAACUUAGUGGGAGGGGGUGGAGGAAUAUUUAUAGAAGGAAAAUUUUGAAUGAAAGGUUUAGAUGUGGGCUUCUAGAGAAUUUUCUAGAUCACAGAGUCCAUAGUAGUGCAAAUGUCAUCUUAUGAUAAGUCAAUAGGCUCAGCAUAAGUCAUGAUCAUUAGUGGCUAGAACUAAAAGAGAGAACACAAAUGGAUCUAAGGGCUCAGGUUUAAGCAUGGUGGAUGGGGAAGACUAAUGAGCUAUAAAAUGGGUCACAAAGGUAGGUGAGUCAAGUGACCAAACUAAAACUUUAAGCUUAACUAGCUAACCUGGAUGAUCAAUUAAACUGGGCAAGGGGAAUCCCAACUUUACAAAAUUUUGGGAGGUGGUAAGAGGAUGCAUCCAGG
rnacentral:lncRNA from 1 species